GUCCACGCCCUAAACGAUGUCAACUGGUUGUCGGGGAAGCAAUUCCUUGGUAACGAAGCUAACGCGUGAAGUUGACCGCCUGGGGAGUACGGCCGCAAGGUUAAAACUCAAAGGAAUUGACGGGGACCCGCACAAGCGGUGGAUUAUGUGGAUCAAUUCGAUGCAACGCGAAAACCUUACCUACCCUUGACAUGUACGGAACCCUUCAGAAAUGGAGGGGUGCCCGAAAGGGAACCGUAACACAGGUGCUGCAUGGCUGUCGU
rnacentral:rRNA from 1 species